rnacentral:rRNA from 1 species
AACGUAGGACACAAGCGUUAUCCGGAAUUACUGGGCGUAAAGGGAGUGCAGGCGGUUGCGUAAGGUAGGCGUGAAAGACUUCGGCUAAACCGGGGGAGGUCGUCUGAUACUGCGUAACUAGAGUGUGGUAGAGGCGUGUAGAAUUCCGGGUGUAGUGGUGAAAUGCGUAGAGAUCCGGAGGAAUACCAGUGGCGAAGGCGGCUAUCUGGACGGUUUCUGACGCUAAGACGCGAAAGCGUGGGGAGCAAACAGG